rnacentral:rRNA from 1 species
GAACGGCAGCGCGUUUGGGGUAACCCAAAUGGCGGCGAGUGGCGGACGGGUGAGUAAUGUGUAGGAAUCUGCCUUGAGGAGGGGGAUAACUUGGGGAAACUCAAGCUAAUACCACAUAAGACCUAAGGGUGAAAGCAGGGGACCGAAAGGCCUUGCGCCUUAAGAUGAGCCUACAUUGGAUUAGCUAGUUGGGGGGUAAAGGCCCACCAAGGCGACGAUCCAUAGCUGGUCUGAGAGGAUGACCAGCCACACUGGGACUGAGACACGGCCCAGACUCCUACGGGAGGCAGCAGUGGGGAAUUUUGGACAAUGGGGGCAACCCUGAUCCAGCCAUGCCGCGUGUGUGAAGAAGGCCUUCGGGUUGUAAAGCACUUUCGGACGGAACGAAAUCGCACGGGCGAACAUACCCGUGUGGAUGACGGUACCGUAAGAAGAAGCACCGGCUAACUACGUG